AACGAACGCUGGCGGCAUGCCUAACACAUGCAAGUCGAACGAGACCUUCGGGACUAGUUGCGCACGGGUGCGUAACGCGUGGGAACCUGCCCUUAGGUUCGGAAUAACUCCCCGACAGGGGUGCUAAUACCGGAUAAUGUCUGCUGACCAAAGAUAUAUCGCCUUUGGAUGGGCCCGCGUUGGAUUAGCUAGUUGGUAGGGUAAAAGCCUACCAAGGCGUCGAUACAUAGCUGGUCUGAGAGGAUGAUCAGCCACACUGGGACUGAGAAACGGCCCAGAAUCCUACGGGAGGCAGCAGUGGGGAAUCUUGGAAAAUGGGGGAAAGGCUGAACCAGCAAUGCCGCGUGAGUGAUGAAGGCCUUAGGGAUGUAAAGCUCUUUUACCCGGGAUGAUAAUGACAGUACCGGGAGAAUAAGCACCGGCUAACUCCGUG
rnacentral:rRNA from 1 species